UUGGCCAUCACAUCAGCCCCUAGCAUCGGCCCAUCGGAACCGACGGGCGGCCAGCCUGUGUAUGACACAGGAUAUUGGUCGGCGGCCGUUGACAUGAGCGAACACGUGGAGGGAUUGCCGGAGGCGCUAGAUGAUGAUGAUCAUUCUUCUGCGUCUUCGGAGUCAAGCGGAGAAGAAGAUGUUCCUCCUCAGAGGGCGGUCGCGGCGGCACUGCAACCUGGGUUUUUACAGGAUAUGAGCAUCACCAACGAAUUUCACUCUGCUUCUGGCCUAGGAGCGGGAAGCCUGGAGGUUGGGCAAGUUUUCCCAGAUAAGAAGUCUGCUUACCAGGCAAUGGGUAGCUAUGCAAUCGGCAUCCACCGCCAGCAUAGAGUGAAGCAGUCUGAUAAAAAAGAGUUGAAGGUCAUAUGCAUCCACACCGCGAAAGGUUGCCGCGGAAGAGUUCUCGCUAGACUGAAGCCUGGGGUAUGUCAGUCAUGGCAUAUCACAAAAAUAGUGGAGCAUACCUGUGAGCAAACUGGGACUCUUUCAGAUCACUGCAAUGUGACAGCAAAAUUUGUGGCACAGACGAUGGAAACAAUUGUGCAGGGAAGUCUCAACAUUAGUGUUAGGGCUCUGCAAAAAGAUGCAGAGGAUCUAAUUGGAUUCCCUGUUAGCUACAGCAAGGCUAGGCAUGCGAAGGAAAAUAUAUUUAAGAACUUGUAUGGUACCUAUGAGGAGGCAUAUUCUUAUGCCCCUAGAAUGCUUCAUCAAAUAGCAAGUGCUAAUAGGGGGACUCAAGUUUGGCGGAGAGAACGUCCAAACCCAAUGAACCCGGGUGAGCUAAUCCUGGACCGCUUAUUCUGGGCAUUCGCCCAGACUAUACAAGCCUUCAGGCACUGUCGCCCGGUAUUAUCUGUUGAUGGUACCUUUCUCACUGGAAAGUACAAGGGCACACUAUUGGUGGCGAUUGCAGCGGAUGCAAAUAAUCAGCUUCUUCCUAUUGCAUAUGCAUUGGUCGAGAGCGAGAACAAAGAUAGCUGGUUGUGGUUCCUGAGCUGCGUGAAGAUGGGUGUCGUGAAAGAGCGUAAAGGUGUUUGCAUCAUUUCUGAUCGCAACACUGGAUUAUUAAGCGCUCUUGAAAUAAUUAAGGCGUCGGAAGAAGAGUGGGGCUGGCCCGAUCUAGAGGGAAGGUGGUGCAUGAGGCAUUUGGCAGCAAACUUUUACUCCAAAUUCAAAAACAAGGAUUGGUUCAAGUUAUUCAAGAGGAUGUGCAUGCAAAAAACUGUAGCCAAAAUGAAUGCGAUAUGGGCAGGUAUCAAUGGUGAGAUCGACCGCGCGGCCUUGCCGCAGAGAGAAGACCGGAGGGGUCGUAGGACGGUCAUAAAUUUGAGCCAGUGGAUCACCGAGAAUUGCCCUCAUUUGGAGAAGUGGGCACAGGCUCACGACACCGGGGCUCGGUAUGGAAUAAUGACCAGCAACAUGUCAGAGGUGUACAAUGGUGUUCUUAAAGGGGUGCGAGCACUGCCUAUCACAGCCCUAAUUGAAGAAACUUGGAACCGGACCCUGUCAUACUUUGCAGACAGGGUCACCGUCGCCAAAGCACAAGUUGAAUUGAACAAGCCAUGGUCCGAGAAGAUGCAAAGACAUCUGGACGAGAAAGCAAAGAAGUCCCAAAGUCAUGGCUGCAGGAAAGUGGACGCACUUAGGAAUAAGUGGGAGGUCAAUGUGCGAGCCAAGUACGUUAAGGGUCACCACAGAGGAUCAAAAAAGCAAGCUGUCACCCUUGGCUCAACCUCCUGUGAGUGCACUUGUAACAAGCCCAAGCUUGAGGGCUACCCUUGCAGUCAUGUGCUCCGGGCGGCUGCUGUUCAAAAAAUCAGCGUCGAGCCAUACAUAUCGCCGUACUUUAACAUGUACAAUCUGUACAACACUUGGAACGGUGAGUUCUGGGCUUGGGGCAUUGAUAUGAACUACAAAAUGUUGUGGCCAGAUGGGCCGAAAUGGGUUCCGAACACCGACUUGAUGAGAACCGCAAAGGGACGACGUCAGUCUAGGCGUCAUCGCAAUGACAUGGACCAUAGCCAGAUGGGAGAACCAAGGCGAUGCCGCGUUUGCAGGUGUCCUGGACAUUCACGCAAAGACUGCCCGUAUCGAGCCAACAACAACGCAUGAUGUUGAUAUAUAUGUACUCGCCAUGUCUAUUUAUAUUUCUACUCGUUAUGUGUACUUAUAUUGAAUUUAAAUUCAUUCUCUUUGUAUUAUUGUACUCCUGAUGUUAACUUCAGAUAAUUAAUGUAAAUCGUAUCUCUUUGUAUUUUUUAAGUUAAUUUAGAUUUGCAUUUGUAUUUCUGUCUUCCUCGUAAUUUAUAUUUGUAUGUUUGUGUGCAGGUUAUGGGUGAAGUGCCAGUGCUUUUGCAGGGGCCCCAUGACGCCGGGCACCGUUGCCACCUAUUUUUGAAACCAAAUACUAAGCAUGAUUAUCGGCCUUUCAGACUUCGAACCAUAAAGAAAACAUGGCCAAUACACAAUCAUUUCCUUGCUCACCUUGACGCUUAUGGACUACAAGGUUUUGCUAGGCUCACAUCAUGCGACGACCAAGUACGUUCGGACCCAUCCCUUUUGACAUCCCUCGUUGACCGGUGGAGACCUGAAACCCACACCUUUCACUUUCGUUUUGGGGAGCUUGCACCUACACUGAAAGAUGUUUCUAUGAUCACUGCUCUACCAAUUAGAGGUGAGCCGGUAGUCUCUCCACGAGUGUCUCCAUCUUGGGCAUUAGAUAUAGCAGCCCGUCUUGGGAUGGAAAUGCCAGAAUCACAACGUUCUGGUAACCCUCGGGGCAUCCCACUCGUCUGGCUUCGUGAUAACUUUCUUAAUUUAUCUAGCUUCGCCAAUGAGGAGACGAGAAAAAGACAUCUGUUUGCAUAUUUGUUGUGGCUCCUCGGGAAUCUAUUUCCAAAUUCACAUGGGGACGUUGUUGUCCCUGGUCUCAUCUACAUUGCAGAGAAUAUGGUAGAUGAACCUUUACCCGAGCAGCCAAAAUACAGCUUCGGUUCUGCCAUGCUAUCUCAUACAUACAGAGGCUUGUGUGAUGCCACGCAAAAAACCUCUUUCGCACAAAAAGCUCCAUUACUUUGUGUCGCCUAUGAGUUUCUACAGUUGUGGUCCUGGGAAUACCUCCCUGUAGGACGACCUCGUAUAGUACAACCCAUAUACCCAUAUGACUUUGGCGAGGGUGCUAGCGCAACUAUGGCCACCAGGUGGACAAAGGCACGGAAACGUUGGUCUCCAGAUAUUGCGAAAAAUUGUUACCCUAUGUACCACCAGCAGUUUGAGAUACUUGAUGAGGCAGAAGUCACAUGGAACCCGUGGACUCAGGACCAGCUAAAAUUGGUCUUUGAUGCUCGACACUUCACACCAGGCAUGUUGACCGAUAGUGCAUUCUGGCUGACUCGCUGCAACUUAUUGUUCCUGUGGUGUGUUGAACCUUACAACCCAGAGCGUGUAAUGAGACAGUUCGGUCUCUAUCAAGAAAUUCCACCACCUUUUCCCAGACGUAUCGAUGAGGAAACACAUAAGCUAACCAAUAUGGGCAGGGGUUGGAGUUUAUACGAUUGGAGGGAAGAGAACAGUGAAUGGGUACACAAGUGGACAAAUGAAGCGCUAGCAGAUAUAGUGCGUGAACUUAGGCCGUACGAUGGAAGUACAGAUCAAGCGUACAAGCAGUGGUACUGCAUGAACACACGUGCUAGCCUGGCCAGUCAGCCAGCUACUAUACCAACACAUCUCACACAAGAGGAGCAGGCGCGGAGACAUGUUGAGCUGCAUGCAGCUUACUAUCGUGACCACCUGCUUGAAAAUGUCAACGAAGUAGGGCAGAUGGCUACGGAUAGCAUGCCGGCCCAGGGCCCAUAUCGCAAGACAUUCCAGAAACUUUUGCAACAAUUCGUGGCAAAGAAGUUCAGAUGCGGUAGAGGCGACGACGUUGCCACUGGAGCAUACAUGCCGGUAGCGAGGUCAGCCAGACCGAGUGCGGCACCGUCGUCCAGACCGAGCGAGGCGCGUACGAGCCAUGAGCAAUGGGGGGAGGGUCCGAGUACUAGAACGACAUUGCCACGACAUGACUCAUCUCUGCCACUGCAUCGCUCUUCUUCGAUGCAGCUUCGUCAGGGGCAAACAUCUCAGGACCAUGGCACGGGCUUGGAUUCGAUGCCCGAGCAGUUUCUUUCCCCUAACCCAUAUGCGUACACAGGAUAUGAUGCAUACACCCAAGGACACACCUGAUGUUAAUUGGGGCGAUGAGAACACCCAACGCGGCGUCAACACAGGCCUCCGGGGAGCAUCACAUGAUCAUGGCGUCAACACAGGCCUCCGGGGAGCAUCACAUGAUCUUGGCGACACGGUUACAUCAUUAGUUACAGAGUUCUUCGGAGGGGAUGUUAUUGGCCCAUCUUUUAUCCCCCCGGAGUCACAACCAUACGCCUACAAUUACGCUUCAGGUUCGCAACAAGGAUUCGCGACUCCACCACCUACGCAGGACUCGCAGACACAUGAAGCCGAAGUGGAGUACGGCCGCGGUCUUCGUGUGACCCGGCCACCUAAUCGCUUGUCGCCUUCCGGUCGUAAGGAAAGGCCAGGUGGUCGUCGUUAAGUACGGUGAUUCAUCUAUGCACGUGCGCGACCCAUUGUAUCUAUAUAUGUGUGUAUCAGACUUUUCGAUUUGAACAUCUAUGUUUGCUGAAAUAAAAAUGCACCAGUCAACGCU